CAUAUACUGAGGUGUCUUUACACCAGUUCAUAUAGAGAGGCUAUCUUGGUCUCAUAUGUUGAUUUAGAUAAGCAAGAAAAUCAAAACAAUAUAUUACCUUCCACACUCUGAAAGAAGUCUGCUUAUGUGCUAAAUUGCACAGAUAACAGAAAUGAAUGCCACAUGCCUUGAUGGGAACAAGUGUCUUUGUGGACUUAAACUCAGGCUUUUAAAUACGAGAAGCUGUCUCUUACCAAGGAUAUUGGCCUCUUCUCUAUCUUCACGACUGUGGUAUUCAGGCAGACUUUAUGCAGCCAAGAUAUCCAUUAGCAGCACUCUUAUCCAUGCUCUAGUAAUUUCCCGCAUGGAUUAUUCUAAC